GAUGAACGCUGGCGGCGUGCCUAAUACAUGCAAGUCGAGCGAAUGGAUUAAGAGCUUGCUCUUAUGAAGUUAGCGGCGGACGGGUGAGUAACACGUGGGUAACCUGCCCAUAAGACUGGGAUAACUCCGGGAAACCGGGGCUAAUACCGGAUAACAUUUUGAACCGCAUGAUUCGAAAUUGAAAGACGGCUUCGGCUGUCACUUAUGGAUGGACCCGCGUCGCAUCAGCUAGUUGGUGAGGCAACGGCUCACCAAGGCAACGAUGCGUAGCCGACCUGAGAGGGUGAUCGGCCACACUGGGACUGAGACACGGCCCAGACUCCUACGGGAGGCAGCAGUAGGGAAUCUUCCGCAAUGGACGAAAGUCUGACGGAGCAACGCCGCGUGAGUGAUGAAGGCUUUCGGGUCGUAAAACUCUGUUGUUAGGGAAGAACAAGUGCUAGUUGAAUAAGCUGGCACCUUGACGGUACCUAACCAGAAAGCCACGGCUAACUACGUGCCAGCCGCCGCAGUAA
rnacentral:rRNA from 1 species